GACGAACGCUGACGGCGUGCUUUAGACAUGCAAGUCGAACGAGAAAGCCCUUCGGGGUUAGUAAAGUGGCGAACGGGUGAGUAACACGUGGGCAAUCUGCCCUUCGUUGGGGGACAACCGGGGGAAACCCCGGCUAAUACCCCGUAAGCUUGUCGGGUCGCAUGGACUGACAAGGAGAGGUAGCUUCGGCCAUCCGGCGAAGGAGGAGCCCGCGGUACAUUAGCUAGUUGGUGAGGUAAAGGCCCACCAAGGCGACGAUGUAUAGCUGGUCUGAGAGGAUGAUCAGCCACACUGGGACUGAGACACGGCCCAGACUCCUACGGGAGGCAGCAGUCGGGAAUCUUGCACAAUGGGCGAAAGCCUGAUGCAGCGACGCCGUGUGAGCGACGAAGGCCCUAGGGUCGUAAAGCUCUGUUGUUAGGGACGAAGGGCGAAGGGUUAAUAGCCCUUAGCCUGACGGUACCUUUCGAGGAAGCCCCGGCUAACUACGUGCCAGCCGCCGCCGUAAUAC
rnacentral:rRNA from 1 species